AAACCAGCACAUCUGCUCUCUACAAUCCAAUAAUGGAAGGCUUUAUUACCAAAGACGGUAGUGUUCCUGCGACUUUGGCUGCUUGGGAGUGCGGUCGUCUUUCAACCAGGAGGUUGUGGGUUAGAGCCCAGCCCGUACAGUCAACAUGUCGACGAUUCCUCUGUCUGUUCGUCUCAACCUUCUACAAACUGCCACAACACAUUCUCGGGCCACAAUGAUAAGGCUGUCCGGAUUGUCAUCGUUGGGAAAACUGGAGCUGGGAAGAGCGCCACAGGAAACACCAUUCUGGGAAAACAGUACUUUAAAUCAGAGAUUUCUCCU